rnacentral:lncRNA from 1 species
CCGCUCGCGCACCUCCCGGCCGGAGGGCCGUCGGCCGCCGAGCGGGCACCGGGAGCCGGGAAAAGUUGGCGGCGCGUCCGCCGCGGGGAGGCCCGGGGCCGCGGGGGAGAAAAGACACUUUUUACAGAGCUGGGAGCUCAUAAACGUCUCAAAAGAAAGAUGCUGGAUAAUUGGAAAUAAGAAUUUGAGUUUCCUGGUUUUCUGUGUGUGUACAACCCAUAGGAAAUUCUUCCCAGUAAAUUCCUGUAGCCUUCAGACAUUUUCAAGAGGCAAAGGACCAGCACUCUUCUUACCAGUGGAUUGGAUUGGUGACUGCAGCUUUGUCAGCAGCCGUGACUCCAUGUCCCAGGAUGCAGGGCAACCCAUCUGGGGAAGACCCAAGGAGGCAGAGGAUGCCCUUCUAUGCAAACUACGGUGGCAGGACCAGCCUUCCACCUCCCUGGAGGUGAUCUGUGCUCUGGAUGUGCUGACUUGGAGAAGCAGGAGUUCUCGUCGUGGCGCAGUGGUUAACGAAUCCGACUAGGAACCAUGAGGUUGUGGGUUCGGUCCCUGCCCUUGCUCAGUGGGUUAACGAUCCGGCUUUGCCGUGAGCUGUGGUGUAGGUUGCAGACGCGGCUCGGAUCCCGCAUUGCUGUGGCUCUGGUGUAGGCUGGUGGCUACAGCUCUGAUUGGACCCCUAGCCUGGGAACCUCCAUAUGCCACGGGAGCGGCCCAAGAAAUAGCAAAAAAAAAAAAAAUUUUUGUGAGGGGAUAUGCAUAAUCAUUAGUCAAAAUUUAAGUUUACGACAAGCAAAAAUGUCAGCUUCUAAAAUAAUUCUACUUUUAAGUAAUUCAGCAUGCCAAUCACAUGAUAUCUUAAGAUGGAGAUUUUUUUCUCAAUAGCAAGCUUAAUUGAUUACAUUAAUAUAAUCAUGGUUAGUCCUUCUUAAUUAUUUUAUGCUUCUGAAUAUUUAAGUUGGAAAUGUAUCUACUGGAUUCAUCUUUUUAAAAUGAUAUUAGACAACCUAUAAAAAUAUUUAGGCUGUAUAAAAUGAAUUUAAAACAAUAUCCAAAGUUGUAAAUGUUAUUUAUAAGGUGGAAUUUCAUUUUUAAGACAAAGUAUGUGACAAAAAUAUGAUUAAGGUAAAUAAUUGGGCUUUUAUUUACUAAUUAAAUUAUAAACUGUGUAAAGGCUUUAAAAUGCUUGGUUAAGGAUAAAUUCCUUUUUAUAAGUAUAAUCCAUAGCUUCAAUUUAUCUUUAUCAUAAAUUAAUUUAUUGCUUUUAUUUCUUUAAGGACAGUUUUUCUAUUACAAGCAUCUUAACAGAUAUUUGACUGUAAUGACAGGAAAGAAACAGUAGAGGGCACUUUAGUUCCCUAACAAAAUAAAACCAUUUCUACAACAUUUUAUAAAUCAGUAAAAUAGGCAAAGGGAAGAUUUGAACUAUCUGGUAAAGGUUAAACAAAAACAUGAAGCUAGUUCCUCUGCUUCAUGGAGCCUAAUAGAAGAUAACUCAGAUAAACAGCAAUUUCUUCCUUUAAUCCAUCCAUAAACAAACUAGAUAACAUGAAAAACAAGUGCUCUCAGAUUGGCAAACUCAUGAGUCCAUCAUUUCAAGAGUAUUUCACUUUAAAACUCUCACAAUUACUUGUAAAUUUCCCAAUCUAUUAAAUGUACUUCAUUGAAAUCAGUAAAUUCUCAUCAUCCAGGGUUUUUAAGAGGUAGAUUGUGAGCUCUCAGUACAUAAGAAGUAGCACUAUGUAACCGUGUAUUUCUUGUAUCUUGGUUCUAUACCCACUAGCGAUUACCUUUAGUUAUGUUACUUAAUCACAAUUUCUUCCAAACUUAUCUUUAUCAUCAUCAUCAUUGUCAUUUCAAAGCAACGUCCUUGCUUUCAAGUAACUUCCACUCUGUUCUGGCUGAAAAAAGUAAAAUUGAUAUGUGAAACAGUAAACUAAAGAGAGAGAAGGCAUAAUAAAUCUAAAUUGUUUUGUUUAAUGUGUAAGUGACCCCCAGGCAAAUCAUUAUCAUUCCCAGAGCCUCGGUCUUUACAUCUUGAGGUUCUGGACUUGAUGAUCUGACUAAAACGUUAUUAUCUAUUCUUUAUUUUUUUUUUUUUUUUGGCAUGCAGAAGUUCCUGGGCCAGGGAUUGGCCCUGAGCCACAGCAGUAAAAAGGCUGGAACCAUAACCUGCUAGACCACCAGGGAACUCCACUAUCAUCCAUUCUUAUGUUGUAUAUUGUUCUAUCAAAUUUUGUUAAUUAAUUCCUAAGCUCUCAACAGAUUUACUAUGGUUCUGAACCUUUUGGGGUGUCAAGACCCACUUGACAAUCUUACGGGAGCUUAUCCCCUCAAAAAAUGCUCUAAGGUUUGUCUUAUUCAGAACAAGUUAGAUUAAUUUCAGGAGGACCUCCAGAAAUCAAUCCACAGACUCCAUUAUGGAUUGUCUGGCAUAACAACUCUGGACUAUGUCAAGAAUCUCUGGGAGUUCCCACUAUGACACAGUGGAUUAAGAACCCUACUGCAGUGGCUCACGUCUCUGUGGAGGUGUGGGUUUGAUUUCCAGCCCAGUACAGUGGGUUAAAGGUUUUGGUGUUGCCACAGCUACAGCUCGGAUUCAGCCCCUGGCCUGGGAACUUGCAUAUGCCAUAGGUAUGGCCAUUUAAAAAAAGAAUCUUUGAAAAAAACACAAAUUAUACAGCUCCCACAUAGUUGGGGGUUUAUGCCUAGAAAUGUUAUAUGCUGUUGUUGGAUGAAGGUGGGCAAUGCGGCUGGAGAUGGGGGUAGGCCACCCCAAGCAAGCUUUCACUUUAUUUCAUAGGCAACAGGAAGUAUACUGGAGUGUUUCAAUAUAGAAGCAGAAGAUAUACCUUUUUAAUAGCAAAAUCAGAGAGUCAGAUGCAAAAUAAACAGAAGAAAGAAAGCAGGGUGAUAAUCCAUGAAUCCAUCACCAUAAUCAUCUGGGAGGCAUUGUGAGAACUGUUUCGGACCUAGAGGUUCUCACACUAAGUGAUGUACGCCAGACAGAGACAAAUAUCACAUGAUAUCGCUUAUAUGUAGAAUCUAAAAUAUGAUACAAUGAACUUAUUUACAAAACAAAUCAGACUCACAGACAUAGGAAACAAACUAAUGGUUACCAAAGGGGAAUGGGGGAGGGAUCAAUUAGGAGUUUGGGAUUAAUAUAUAUACAGAACUAUAUAGAAAAUAAAUAUUAAGGCCCUACUGUAUGGCACAGGGAGCUACGUUCAAUAUUUUGUAAUAAACUAUAGUGGAAAAGAAUCUGAAAAAAUAAUGUAUAUAUAUAUAAAACUGAAUCACUUUGCUGUACACCUGAAUUUAACAACAUUGCAAAUCAACUAUAUUUCAAGUAAAAAAUAAAUAAAA